rnacentral:lncRNA from 1 species
AAACCCCAUCUUUAUUUUUAAGUUUUGUCGUUAUUUUUAACGAGUGUUAUGUUUAAAUCCCUAGAACCCGAAACCCGAAACUCGAAACCCGAAACCCCAAACCCCAAACUCGAAACCCGAAACCCGAAACCCCAAACCCGAAAUCCCAUAUUCUUUAUUUUCUACUUCAUAUAUUCCAAACUCCAUCUUUAUUUUUAAGUUUCGUCGUUAUUUUUAACGAGUGUUAUGUUUAAAUCCCUAGAACGUUAGGAAAGGUUACGUUGUAAGUACAACUUAGGACCAAACGAAAUCAUUAACAAUGUUAAUAAAGGAUAACAAGAUCUCUAACUACUUUUGAAGCUCAAAAUUUAUAAGUUUGUAGGAUAAAAUUUUCAAAUGGUAUUUUAAUUUAUAAGAAAAUAUUAAAAGAAAAUUAUAUACAACCAC